AGGACUUCAGUCUCUGAGGCCGAUGCAGGUUGGCAGCAUACCCGUGCGGUGAACAGCGUGCAGGACAAGAGGUAGUGGAAGACGUGCUCUCGAACCCUCUGAGCCCUCAAGCCAUCUCUGCAGGCAACAUACAGGUUCCCGCAAGGAUGUCACAGCUGGAUAGCCCACUACAGCACAAAUGUAUUUUUGCCUGCUGCGAGUCUGACUCUGUGCCUUUUGCCUGCUGCGAGUCUGACUCUGAGCAUUUUGCCUGCCACUGAAAGGCAUUUCAAACUAGACCUGACAUGACUGGAAGAAAACCCUUCAAGCAGUUCCUGUGUCUGAAAACAGUGACAGAGGUGAUCCAGCAUUUGAGGACAGUUGAGGACGUCUGAACUGAACAUGAACUUAUAUAAACUAAUGUAUCCAUAAACAUCCAUGUCCUGGCAAUUUUAGUGACCCAUAAUGGGUCUAAUCUUCACAGUAGUGAAUCUGUUAUAGAGUGAAAAAAGCUGAUAGUACAUCUAAAGGUAAUAAUGCUGCCCGUUUUAUUGGACUAUCUUGCAUGAUGUCACAUCUCCUUCGAAACUAAACUGAAGACGUCAGACAUCUGUGAAAGAUUAAAAGAAGCACCCACAGCUUCCAUCUCAGAAUUGGGCCUAUGAUGCAAACAAAGAUAGUAGCUCCUAAACUUUCCCAUCAAAGACGUUCCUAGUGUGAAGAUCUACACACAACCGCGACGCAGCAGCAAAGAACUGGUUGGUUCCUCUGUGUAAUUGGUCCUCCCCGUCUCCAAACACCCAUGCAGCUCCAGGUUGCUGUCUAAGGGGACAGCAGAGUAGAGGUCCAGGGAAUGCUCAACUUCCCUGGGCAGCCCUGGCUCUGAUCCCG